UGAACUAUAACUUUACGAAUCCAAUCAUUUCCUUAUAUAAUUCACUUGUGCACAAGAGUUAUGCGAAUAUUCGAGUAAUUAUUUACUUUGUUGCAGACAAAACCUGGUCUGAGUUCAUAUGCUGCCGACCCUCCGGCAGCUGCCAACUCUCUAAAACCGCUCCUCGAGGAAGCCGAGGAUGUUGUUCCAACAGAGUUGCGUCCCGACACACCGGUUCGACUUGGGGCAACUGCAGGUCUGAGGUUAUUACAAGGAGAUGCGGCUGAAAGAAUUUUGGAAGCGGUGAGAAAUUUGUUGAAGAAUGAAAGCACCCUAAAAUACAGGGAUGACUGGGUCUCCAUUCUUGAUGGAAACCAGGAAGGAACUUAUCUGUGGGUAAGUUUAUAUCAUCCACGAGCAUUUGUCUUCAA